rnacentral:lncRNA from 1 species
ACUUUAUAGGUUGCAUUUCUGUAAAUAUUGACAAUGCAAUUUCCCAUAGGAACUCCUUUUACGGCUAAAACUGCACCACUUUUACCAUGAAGUUUUGAAAAAAAUCUUAUCCUAGAAUUGAAAGUUCAUAUGCACUACAAUUUUUUUCAAAGGUCAAAAUAUAGGGCUGUGCGGCAUAUUUUCAACGUUUAUAUGCCCUGAAAUUUUCAGAGUUUAAACUAACACUAAUUUUCUUAACUACCCCUACCUCGAAUGAAGGGUUACCACACAUUUCAAUGUAAACAAUAUGCACAUGUAU